GGGGAAUUUUCCGCAAUGGGCGAAAGCCUGACGGAGCAACGCCGCGUGAGGGAUGAAGGCCUCUGGGCUGUAAACCUCUUUUCUCAAGGAAGAAGAUCUGACGGUACUUGAGGAAUAAGCCACGGCUAAUUCCGUGCCAGCAGCCGCGGUAAUACGGGAGUGGCAAGCGUUAUCCGGAAUUAUUGGGCGUAAAGCGUCCGUAGGCGGUCUUGUAAGUCUGUCGUUAAAGCGUGGAGCUUAACUCCAUUUCAGCGAUGGAAACUGCAAGACUAGAGUGUGGUAGGGGCAGAGGGAAUUCCCGGUGUAGCGGUGAAAUGCGUAGAUAUCGGGAAGAACACCAGUGGCGAAGGCGCUCUGCUGGGCCAUAACUGACGCUCAUGGACGAAAGCCAGGGGAGCGAAAGGGAUUAGAUACCC
rnacentral:rRNA from 1 species